AGUGAACGCUGGCGGUAGGCCUAACACAUGCAAGUCGAACGGCAGCACAGUAAGAGCUUGCUCUUACGGGUGGCGAGUGGCGGACGGGUGAGGAAUACAUCGGACUCUACUUUUUCGUGGGGGAUAACGUAGGGAAACUUACGCUAAUACCGCAUACGACCUACGGGUGAAAGCAGGGGAUCUUCGGACCUUGCGCGAUUGAAUGAGCCGAUGUCGGAUUAGCUGGUUGGCGGGGUAAAGGCCCACCCAGGCGACGAUCCGUAGCUGGUCUGAGAGGAGGAUAAGCGACACUGGAACUGAGACACCGUCCAGACUACUACGGGAGGCAGCAGUGGGGAAUAUUGGACAAUGGGCGCAAGCCUGGUCCAGUCAUACCGCGUGGGUGAAGAAGGCGUUCGGGUUGUAAAGCCGUUUUGUUGGGAAAGAAAAGCAGCAGGUUAAUACCCCGCUGUUCUGACGGUACCCAAAGAAUAAGCACCGGCUAACUUCGUG
rnacentral:rRNA from 1 species